rnacentral:rRNA from 1 species
AACGAACGCUGGCGGCAGGCUUAACACAUGCAAGUCGAACGCGAAAUCACCUUCGGGUGGUGGAGGGUGGCAGACGGGUGAGUAACGCGUGGGAACCUACCUAGUGGUACGGAAUAACUCAGGGAAACUUGGGCUAAUACCGUAUGUGCCCGAAAGGGGAAAGAUUCAUCGCCACUAGAUGGGCCCGCGUCGGAUUAGCUUGUUGGUGAGGUAACGGCUCACCAAGGCGACGAUCCGUAGCUGGUCUGAGAGGAUGAUCAGCCACACUGGGACUGAGACACGGCCCAGACUCCUACGGGAGGCAGCAGUGGGGAAUAUUGGACAAUGGGCGCAAGCCUGAUCCAGCCAUGCCGCGUGAGUGAUGAAGGCCCUAGGGUUGUAAAGCUCUUUCGGCGGGGACGAUAAUGACGGUACCCGCAGAAGAAGCCCCGGCUAACUUCGUGCCAGCCGCCGCGGUAA